rnacentral:rRNA from 1 species
GAUGGACCCGCGUCUGAUUAGCUAGUUGGUAAGGUAACGGCUUACCAAGGCGACGAUCAGUAGCCGACCUGAGAGGGUGAUCGGCCACAUUGGAACUGAGACACGGUCCAAACUCCUACGGGAGGCAGCAGUGGGGAAUAUUGCACAAUGGGCGAAAGCCUGAUGCAGCAACGCCGCGUGAGUGAUGAAGGCCUUCGGGUCGUAAAACUCUGUCCUCAAGGAAGAUAAUGACGGUACUUGAGGAGGAAGCCCCGGCUAACUACGUGCCAGCAGCCGCGGUAAUACGUAGGGGGCUAGCGUUAUCCGGAUUUACUGGGCGUAAAGGGUGCGUAGGCGGUCUUUCAAGUCAGGAGUGAAAGGCUACGGCUCAACCGUAGUAAGCUCUUGAAACUGGGAGACUUGAGUGCAGGAGAGGAGAGUGGAAUUCCUAGUGUAGCGGUGAAAUGCGUAGAUAUUAGGAGGAACACCAGUUGCGAAGGCGGCUCUCUGGACUGUAACUGACGCUGAGGCACGAAAGCGUGGGGAGCAAACAGGAUUAGAUACCCUGGUAGUCCACGCUGUAAACGAUGAGUAC